CUUUGGUCACUAAUAUAUUACUCUUAUGUGAGCGCCACGUGUAUAAUUUAAAAAAAAAAAAAAUUUAAUUUAGAAAAUACUUAUUUUCUUAUUAAAAAUUAAUAAAAUAAAUAAAUCAUUAAACUAAUUUUUUUUUUAAAAUAAAGAAAUAUUAAAAUUAAAUAAAUUAAACAAAUCCUAAUUUUAAACCUAAUAAUAAUAAUAAUAAUAAUAAAACCUAUUUCUAAAAUCACUCGACCCUCUAUCUUCUUCUUCCACUUCCACUCCUUUUUCUUCUAUUCUUUUCAUUCGUGGCAGUAAGGGCUUGCAGAUUAACAUAGCUUGGCCAAUCGGAGGGGAAGGGUUGUCUCUCGCUCUUUCUCAGUCUUCCUCCCUUCUCUUAAUUUGAUCACCCAAGGUCUGGCUCGCACUCGAAUGGAGAUGGGUUCAAAUGUAGAAGAUCUGGCUCGCACCUAACGCUGGGCUUGGACUCAAACAGGGAUUGGUUUGUUUUGCUAAUAUUUUUUGUGUAGUUUAUUUGAAAUCUGUUGAUUUGGCAAAGGAGACGAGCCAAGGUUCAGAUCUAGAUUUAUUGCGACUGGUUUGUGGGAAAAUUAAAGAGAAAGAAAAGUGUAAUUUGUGAUUUUUGUUUUUUUUUAUUUCUCUGAUUGGAGCUUUCAUUUUUCAAUGUUGAUGUUUUUGCUUUGAAUCCUUGUUGGCUGGAAGAUGAACGGAAGAACAAUUGAAGUUAUUUUUAAUUUGUUAUUUAAAAUUUGAUUCAA